rnacentral:rRNA from 1 species
CGAGAAGUUCCCUUCGGGGAGCGAGUAAAGCGGCGCACGGGUGAGUAACACGUAGGUAAUCUACCCCUCAGUUCGGAAUAACCAGCUGAAAGGCUGGCUAAUGCCGGAUAAGACCACGGCCUCUGCGGGGGCUGCGGCCAAAGGUGGCCUCUUCUUGAAAGCUAUCGCUGGGAGAUGAGCCUGCGUACCAUUAGCUAGUUGGUGAGGUAAAAGCUCACCAAGGCUCUGAUGGUUAGCUGGUCUGAGAGGAUGAUCAGCCACACUGGGACUGAGACACGGCCCAGACUCCUACGGGAGGCAGCAGUGGGGAAUAUUGCGCAAUGGGGGAAACCCUGACGCAGCGACGCCGCGUGGGUGAUGAAGGCCUUCGGGUCGUAAAGCCCUGUCGUAGGGGAAGAACUGGCUGCAGGCUAAUAUCCUGUAGCCUUGACGGUACCCUACAAGAAAGCACCGGCUAACUCCGUGCCAGCAGCCGCGGUAAUACGGAGGGUGCGAGCGUUGUUCGGAAUUACUGGGCGUAAAGAGCGUGUAGGCGGCUGAUCAAGUCCGGUGUGAAAGCCCGGGGCUUACCCCCGGAAGUGCGCUGGAAACUGGUCAGCUAGAGUAUGGG